rnacentral:piRNA from 1 species
UGACUGUGCGGCCGAUGCCUAUGGUCCCAGU